UCCCUGGUGGUCCAGUGGUUAAGACUCAGCAUUUUCAAUGCAGUGGACUUGGGUUCGAUCCCUAGUCAGAGAA
rfam:Ovis aries breed Texel chromosome 11, whole genome shotgun sequence.